UACGGAAGGGGCGAGCGUUGUUCGGAAUUAUUGGGCGUAAAGGGCGUGUAGGCGGCUUCGCAGGUCUGUGGUGAAAGGAUACAGCUCAACUGUAUUGAGCCGCGGAAACGGCGGAGCUUGAGGCUGGGAGGGGCUGGUGGAAUUCCCUGUGUAGCGGUGAAAUGCGUAGAUAUCGGGAGGAACACCUGUGGCGAAGGCGACCCCCUGGUUGGAUACUGACGCUGAGACGCGAAAGCGUGGGGAGCAAACAGG
rnacentral:rRNA from 1 species